CCAAGACACCCAGGUGCCACAGUGGGGCCUGGUGCUUAGGCCCUGUGAGCCAUACGGCUGCCAUGCACCAAGGCGUGGGCAGACAGAGCUCAAAAGCAAAUGAAGGAAAGAACAGAAAUUCGAAUUAUUAAGUGAAAAAAAAAAAAACCCAAACCCUCAAACCAUUACAAUAUUCUUACUGCUGUGUGUGGGGCUGCUCUGGAGCUGCCUCUGCUUCGCCUUGGGAAGGGGUGAGUGCUACAACCGGGCCCCCACAGAAAGAGCGGGAACGCUGAGGGACUCCCUCAGCUCUCCCUGUCUCCUCGCUUUGCGCAGCCCUGGCUUCUCUGGGUUCCCACCAUGCUGCUGCCUUCUGGAUCAUGACAGGUCCUUCCAUUUCAAGUCAACUUCAUUUCAGAUGAGAAGGAAAGUGUUGCUGUGAGUGGCAAGAUGAGACUUUACUACCAGCAGAAAUCCAAGGGAGGAAGACCUAAAUAUUAAAGAUGUGCUAAGGAUGUCAAACUGUGAAAAAUGUGACAGUACCAUUCCUACUGCUGAGAAGGAGCAGGUUCCAAAGAAGGCAGGUGAGUGAGGGCUUGUGACAGAUGGAGAAAAGAAAGGCUUAUUUAGUGUGGGGCUGGCUGUUUUCCUAUGGUUAAAACUGAAGAAAGAACAUCCGGAAAAACUCUUGAA